UACGUAGGGGGCAAGCGUUGUCCGGAAUCAUUGGGCGUAAAGCGCGUGUAGGCGGUCCGGUAAGUCCGCUGUGAAAGUCGGGGGCUUAACCCUCGGAUGCCGGUGGAUACUGUCGGGCUUGAGUACGGAAGAGGCGAGUGGAGUUCCUGGUGUAGCGGUGAAAUGCGCAGAUAUCAGGAGGAACACCAAUUGCGAAGGCAGCUCGCUGGGACGUUACUGACGCUGAGGCACGAAGGCCAGGGGAGCAAACGGG
rnacentral:rRNA from 1 species